UACGAAGGGGGCUAGCGUUGUUCGGAAUCACUGGGCGUAAAGCGCACGCAGGCGGAUUGAUAAGUCAGGGGUGAAAUCCCGGAGCUCAACCUCGGAAUUGCCUUUGAUACUGUCUGUCUUGAGUCCGGGAGAGGUGAGUGGAAUUCCUAGUGUAGAGGUGAAAUUCGUAGAUAUUAGGAAGAACACCAGUGGCGAAGGCGGCUCACUGGCCCGGUACUGACGCUCAUGUGCGAAAGCGUGGGGAGCAAACAGG
rnacentral:rRNA from 1 species